rnacentral:lncRNA from 1 species
AUGCUGAUGAGAUGCUUGUCGCCGUUGCAUGAUUCGAGCUCCUCCUCCGUGCCUUCUUCGUCGAUGCUGAGCUGUUGUCCGCCAUGGGAGACAUGGAGAGCUUACCGCCGCCGACGAGGAAGGUCGGGGACAGCUGCCUUUCGUAGCGGAUCCAAAGGGUGGGUGAGAGAAAGGAGGAGAGAGUACUUCACUCGGCCAUGGAGGAGCCAGGCCCGGUGGCUGCCCAUCUCCCACGUGGGCUCCUCAACUUCCAACCUCCACCACGGAGCCCGUAGAUACAGCGAUGCCCGCCGCUACCGCCGAUGUCGAGGUCCACGCGGAGGAACUCGCCCUCUUCGGAUCCGGGGUCAACUUCUCACGGGUGGCCAUAGUUGGCAGGUCGCGGGGUCUCGAGCUCCACCAUGAAGCUCAUCUCCACCAGAUCUAGCCGAGGACGACGCUGUGCGGGCUUCAACUCCACGGAUCCAACAACCUCCUCCAUGCCGGAACGGAGAAGGCCAGCCUCUCCUUCACCGGAGGAGAGAGAUAGUAGUCAUGGGUGGGUGGAGAAGAAAAUGGAGAGAGGGUGUCGGUUGGGAACUAAGGCGGUCAUGUGGGAUUGAAAAGGCAACGAGCACUGUUAAAGGAAACUAGUCUAUUAUCAACCCGUACUACGCAUGGACUAAUAUUUUUAAAAGUUAUCAUAUUUAAAAAUUAUUUAGAAAUUAAACUCCUAGCUAAUAAUCAAAAUUGUUUACGUAAUAAUUUCUUAUUUUCCAAUACUUCAACAUAAUACUUAUAUAGACAUUUACUUAUCUUUAUCUAGUUGUGUUUGAUUUUUAAUUAGUAAUUACUCUAUAUAUUUUUUCAUCCACAUUCACACUUUAUCAUUUUGUAUCGCACCUCCAUACAUUGUGUUUAGCAUGAAAAUCAAUAUUUU